rnacentral:tRNA from 1 species
GGGGAUUUAGCUCAGCAGUUAAGUGCUUGCCUGGUAAGCAUGAGAUUGUGAGUUCAAUCCUCAGUACCCCG